UACGAAGGGGGCUAGCGUUGCUCGGAAUCACUGGGCGUAAAGGGUGCGUAGGCGGGUUUUUAAGUCAGGGGUGAAAUCCUGGAGCUCAACUCCAGAACUGCCUUUGAUACUGAAGAUCUUGAGUCCGGGAGAGGUGAGUGGAACUGCGAGUGUAGAGGUGAAAUUCGUGGAUAUUCGCAAGAACACCAGUGGCGAAGGCGGCUCACUGGCCCGGUACUGACGCUGAGGCACGAAAGCGUGGGGAGCAAACAGG
rnacentral:rRNA from 1 species